AUAAAACAGCCCACAAGGACUGGCAAAUAAAUAAAUCAUCUUAACUACGUUAUUAUCAUGGCUUGCCUGAGCUUCAUUGUCUCUUUCGUUCUUACCUGAAUGCCUGUUAUGUUUUUCUCCUUGUUCAAGAGAGGCAAUCAAAAGAGACUGUGAGCAGUAAAUGGCUCCUGCCCAUUCUGGAUGUUGCUAAAAAUACUACCUUACCUCUCUACAUCUAGAGGUCAAUUGAAAAAUCAAAAUACUGAGGUCAGCAACCCUGCAGACUGUUCUGUUGAGAUUUCUUGCAUUUCUUCCCAGAAGGAGAAUAUAAAACUGUCUGAACACAUAUGAAAGAAAUUCUCGUACAUUCUGCCAGCAGCUCAGCACCCUCCUCUGCUCUGAUGGCUGUAGCUCAGCGAGGCUUCCCCAGGCACUUGGAAAUUGCGUUUCUGGAUACAGCUUUGUAAGCCUGGCAGAUGUGUUCUGCACAGUUCUGUCAGAUCUCCCAGCUCUCAGGCAGACAAAAUUAGCUUUGGUACAGCUAAGAAGGAGAUGAUGUGUUCAACGUAUUGCAGUUUGGGUACGUGUCUGUACCUGCUUCCUUUUGUCUUAGGGAAGAUAGGUGCCACCACAGCACAGCAGCAUUACAGCCCCAGACGAGAUGAAAGAGUGGAAAGAUAUUUCAUGAACAAAGGCGCAGCAUCUGCAUGCAAAGAAAAAAAAAAUAACAAAGCAUAAAAUCCUGGAAUUGAUGGAGAAUCUGGCUAAUUAAAGGACUUAGAUCAGGUAUGAGAAAGGAGAAGAAAAAAGAGCAGAGUAGGAUAACCGUACUUUACACUGCUAGAAAAAGAGAAAGAAACAUGUUUGGGAAGCUUUGCAUGGCAAAAUAUAAAAAAAAUAAAAACAAGUAUGGAUGUGAUGGGACAGUAUGACAAUGACUGCUUCUUAGAAAGUGAGAAAUGACUGGUGGAUGGAUGUGUGCUAUUUCUCUGCAAAUAACGUACUGGUAGAGCUCAAGAAUCCAUACAGUGAGCACCCAGCCACCUCCACUGCACUGGCUUUUCCUACGUAGCACUUCCCCAGUUUGGAGCUGAUACUUUCUUGCCAUGGCUUUACCACUUCAUUGCUGAAUUCCUAAAGGAUGGCAGGAUGGCCAAAGACUUAAGCAAGGCUGUCUGGAAGCAAUUCGGCCCAGUUCACUAGGAGGGUUUGUUAAAAAUAACACUGCUGUUACCAUCUUCCUGGAGCUGGUGUUAGCCAUCAUCUCUCAGUGUCUGUCGUUGGUACGGAUAUGUAACAGUCAGGCAGCUCACCUAUCACCCUAGGACUCAAAAUGUGGGAGUAUCCAUUAUACUUACCAAGGUGCAAAAGUGCUUUUGGGGGUUCAUGGUACGUACAAUUCUGUAUUGAAAUAAAAAGUGUUAGUUCAUUUGAUUUAUGGCACCGUGAGUGCUUUUAGAUGUGUUGCUUUUUAAGGCUUCUCUGCUGAACUUGUCUGAGGAAGUUGUGGUCUUAUCUUGGAGACCCUCUUGUCAGCUGAUGUUAGUUUGUGAAGAUUCAUUGAUAUCCCUCUUUUUGUGGGCCUGUUCCAAUUCAUGCGGACUGAAUAUCUGCUUCAUGAAUUGUAACGUUGUGAUUCUCUCCUCUGUGAUCAAGUGACAAGGAAGGUGUUUGUUUGUUUGUUUUUCCUCCCCUUCCCAAGAUAGGAAGCAAUACGGGCAACCAAGCUAUCUUCUCUAUGAUGCUAACUGGCCAGUCUGAGUCACAGCUCCUGACUUAAAAAAAUCAGUUUUAGGAAGAGUAGAUAUAGCCCCUCCUGUCUCUCAUCAGUGCUGGGUAAUUGUCUUGAAGAAAACAAUGCAUUGUCUCAGUGUUGCUACUUCAAAGUCCUUUGGAUAAGAAAAUAGAUAAUUCAGUUAAGCCUUAGGUUCUUUCAGCAAACAUCAACAUUUCUGCCCCUUGGCGAUUGUUCAAGACAGUUUUAAAACAUUUAAGAGUCAUUAGAGCUAAUAGCUCCCAUUCUGCAUUUCCUUCAAUGAGGAGUAUCAGACCAAAAAAAAGCACUACCUUAUUCCUGCUACCUUAGUCAAGAAUU
ensembl:lncRNA